rnacentral:rRNA from 1 species
GACGAACGCUGGCGGCGUGCUUAACACAUGCAAGUCGAACGAAGUGGCGAACGGGUGAGUAAUACGUGGGUAACCUGCCCUCCUUUUUGGGAUAAGCCUUGGAAACGGGGUCUAAUACCGAAUAAAGGGGGAUGGGCUCGCGGCCUAUCAGCUUGUUGGUGGGGUGAUGGCCUACCAAGGCGGUGACGGGUAGCCGGGCUGAGAGGCCGCGGGGCCACAUUGGGACUGAGACACGGCCGAGACUCCUACGGGAGGCAGCAGUGGGGAAUAUUGCGCAAUGGGGGAAACCCUGACGCAGCGACGCCGCGUGCGGGAAGGAGGCCUUCGGGGCGUAAACCGCUUUCAGCAGGGAAGCGGUACCUGCAGAAGAAGCCCCGGCUAACUACGUGCCAGCCGCCGCGGUAAUAC